rnacentral:tRNA from 2 species
GGGCCUAUAGCUCAGUCGGUAGAGCAGUCGGCUCAUAACCGAUCGGUCACAGGUUCGAGUCCUGUUGGGCCCA